rnacentral:tmRNA from 1 species
CCCCUAGCCAAGCGGGCGGGAUGCACCUAUAUUCACAGUGUUCUCGGCAACGGGGACUAUGGACAUAAACGCGCUCGUAAUACGCGGAUCGGACCCGGGGGCGGUACCCGGCGACUCCACCAAUAAUCCCUUCAUUUGGGGGAUCCUGGGGUCGAAACAGGAUCGACGAACGUCUAAAGGGGUAUUGCUUUGUCUCGGUGAGGUACCACCGUUAUCGGUCCGAAAAGUACAAUUGCAAAUGACAAUCGUGCUCCGGUAGCUCUCGCAG